AGGGAUGAGUACGUGGUUGUGAUUCGCAAAUGAGUGUAUCUCGCGAGAUAUCAAAAGCACCACCUGUUACCGACCACAUGAGAACACGUGGAAUUAGUAUAUUCUUGACCGUUCUAAGUCUUAUGUAGCUUUACGUCUACAGGGGUGACGUCUCUCGAAUGUCGUCGACAUUCCGAGCCACAAAACUACCAAGUACGUGUUUUUUUCACUUUUUUGGUAAAAUAUGAAGCACGUGUGUGAUGGCAAUAUAU
rnacentral:lncRNA from 1 species